rnacentral:rRNA from 1 species
UACGUAGGGUGCGAGCGUUGUCCGGAAUUAUUGGGCGUAAAGGGCUCGUAGGCGGUUUGUCGCGUCGGGAGUGAAAACUCAGGGCUUAACCCUGAGCCUGCUUCCGAUACGGGCAGACUAGAGGUAUGCAGGGGAGAACGGAAUUCCUGGUGUAGCGGUGGAAUGCGCAGAUAUCAGGAGGAACACCGGUGGCGAAGGCGGGUCUCUGGGCAGUAACUGACGCUGAGGAGCGAAAGCGUGGGGAGCGAACAGG